rnacentral:rRNA from 1 species
AACGAACGCUGGCGGCAUGCCUAACACAUGCAAGUCGAACGAAACCUUCGGGACUAGGGGCUAACGUCUUCGUAACGCGUCGGAACCUGCCCUUGUGUUCGGAAUAACUCCCCGAAAGGGGUGCUAACACGGGAUAAUAUCUUCUGACCAAAUAUUUAUAGCCUUGGGAUGUGCCCGCGUUGGAUUAGCUAGUUGGGAGGGUAAAAGCGUACAAAGGGGACGAUCAAUAGCUGGUCUGAGAGGAAGGGCAGCCGUCCUCGGAGUGAGACACGGCCCAGACUCCUGAGGGAGGGAGCCAUGGCGAAUAUUGGCGAAAGGGCGACAGCGUGAACCAGCAAUGGCGCGUGAGUGAUUAAGGUCAUAGGGUUGUAAAUCUGUUUUACCCGGGAUGCUAAUGACAGUAACGGGAGAAUAAGCUCCGGCUAACUCAGUG